rnacentral:lncRNA from 1 species
UCAAGAAGAAAAAAAAAAACUUGUGUUAGAAAUUCAUUUGUUGAAUUAACUGGAUUAAAAAUACUUAUAUUAUUCUUUUUCCAAUCAGCAAUACUAUCAUAACAUCACAGGAAAAAAAACAUUAAUAAAGGUAUGAUUUUUUUAAGAAGAAAAAGAGACUAAGGUUUAUAAAAAGUAAGAGAUUAAUUAGUAAUCCGCUACCUUUUUUUUAUUUAUAUAUUUAUUUAUUUAUGUGUUAUCUACAUAGAGUGUGUUGUACUUAGCUAUAAAAUUAAAAAUAAGUUAUACUACUUCCUAUAAGCUGCAUGGAUAGAGAUAUGGCACCCGAGUACGAAUACAAGAUGCAAGAUUUCUAGAAAAAUUAUGGUACGUGUAUGUUAAAAUUAAUACGAGGAACAUAAUUUGGGUCCUACAAGAUUCAAGGGAUUAAUCUCUGUAAUUGCGCACGCACAAGAUACCCUCUUUGCACAAAAAAAAUUAUACGAGGAAACUUCUUUUAGUAAAUAUAGCAUUUAACCUAAAAAUAUGAGAAAACGUCGUUCAUACGAAAAAUAAAGCUAGAAUAUAUAUAUAUAUAUAUAUAUAUAUAUAUAUAUAUAUAUAUAUAUAUAUAUAUAUAUAUAUAUAUAUAUAUAUAUAUAUAUAUAUGAAAAAUAGUUUAGAGAUGAGUCGGAUUUCAAGGUUGUAUUGUUCAAGAUUUCAAGGUUCGCUAAAGACAGUAUUUUUCAAGAUUCGGAGGUAGCUAACGAUGAUAUUUACAAACCCACUAACAAGAUCCCAACGCUAACAACAAGAGUUGAACUCACGUUUUUGGGCAAUAUGAACCAUCCUAUUAUCAACUGGAUCAACAUACGUUGAUAGGCAAAAGAUAUUUUUAUAUAAUAAAAAAGGGACGUGAUAUAUAUAAAAAAAUAGAGAAAAAAGUAUACAAUAUAAUAGGAAAAAUAGCCAUGAGUAUCCGAUAAGUAUCGAGUACGAAUACAUGACUUUUGAAGUACCCAUUUUUCAUAGAGUUCAUCACAUCAUAUUUUGUCAAAAUUUUAUCUAUAAUAAGUUAUCUAAAAUCUAUGGAUCAUAUGAGAUUCAACUUGACCUAUAUUUGGCAUCACGGUGGCCAUACCAAAAUCACGAUGACCCAUCAUGAUUUUUCAAAAGAUACACUUUGUAACUUCUGUAAAAUCAUGGCAAAUCACCUUGAUUCUGACAUAUCGACCGACACCGUGAUACCAAAUAUACACUUAGUAGUUAGUGUUUAGUUUUGUAGAAGUGUUAAAAAAAAAAAUUAUGUGGUUGCCUCCCAUUGGGGGACCAAAAGUGUGGAUAUAUUUUUUUUAUACACUAAAAUCAAAUGUUUUGGUCAUAGUUUGAUG